AAGCACAUCAAUAUAGUAACCCAGCUGCCCUCCGAGCUCUAUGCGUACAUAGAUGCCAUUGAUGCUCAUCGAAAUGAGACAGAAUCCACUAAGUGCAGACGUAAGCAGUUAAUUGACAAAUUUCAUGCAGAUUGUCUUUUUGGAUAUCAGCUAACAGUAAGGCAAAAUUAAGCAAUAGCUGAAAGGUAAGGGGAGAACUAAAAUAUGAUAUAGAAGAAGAUUCUUACCUGCAAGCGGGGGAAGAAGCCUGGG